AGGAUAUUAGAUUUUCUUAUUGACCCGUUCCUGAUAAAACAAUGCUCGGACAGGACGUCCGAGCAAGUCGACACGCGCCAUGGAGGGCGCGUUGGAGACGUUUGUGUCACUUCUAAGCUACCGAUAUCGGGACAAUUAGAAAAUCUUAUAUCCGGAG
rnacentral:ncRNA from 1 species